AGCGAACGCUGGCGGCAGGCUUAACACAUGCAAGUCGAGCGGGCACUUUCGGGUGUCAGCGGCGGACGGGUGAGUAACGCGUGGGAACGUGCCCUCUGGUUCGGAAUAACUCAGGGAAACUUGAGCUAAUACCGGAUACGCCCUUUUGGGGAAAGGCUUGCUGCCGGAGGAUCGGUCCGCGUCUGAUUAGCUAGUUGGUGAGGUAACGGCUCACCAAGGCGACGAUCAGUAGCUGGUCUGAGAGGAUGAUCAGCCACACUGGGACUGAGACACGGCCCAGACUCCUACGGGAGGCAGCAGUGGGGAAUAUUGGACAAUGGGCGCAAGCCUGAUCCAGCCAUGCCGCGUGAGUGAUGAAGGCCUUAGGGUUGUAAAGCUCUUUUAUCCGGGACGAUAAUGACGGUACCGGAGGAAUAAGCCCCGGCUAACUUCGUG
rnacentral:rRNA from 1 species